GGGCAGGUGGCGAAACGGUAUACGCGCGAGACUCAAAAUCUCGUGGGAGCAAUCCCUUGGGGGUUCGAUUCCCCCCUUGCCCACCA
rnacentral:tRNA from 1 species